AUGCCACCCGGCACCUGCAUGCCAGGAGCCUUUCUUUGGGUCGCCCCCAAGUUCCCAAACCGUUUCCAAAAGAAAAGCAAAGAAACGCUCCUCUCCGACGAUGGAAGUCCUGGCACUGCCUCCAGCUUGGCUCUCUUCAUCUUCUCCUUCUUCUGGCAGAGCCCCAGCAUCUCCAAGGAGACACAGCACCUAGAGCGGGCCAUGGCCAGCUGCCUCCCACCAGGAUCUGCCCAAUUUUGGAUUUUAUAUUCUUCGGGCCCCAUUGUCUCAUACAUUGAAGAGGAUGUCUUCUCACCUCUCUGGGAUUGCCCAAGAGAGAGUUGCUGUUAACACACACACACACACAUAUAUAUCCUGAUUAGAAGAUACUUUAUCCACCAUGCAAUCCCAAGGAACUGAAUUCACAUCCCAAAAUGGCUCAUUCAAGGUUUUAGCCUGGGUCACAAUACUCAGGUUUUCAGACUUAAGGAGAUAGGAAAAGGGACUAAGGAAAUGAGCACAAUUUCUCAGAACCCAAAAUAAGUAUACCUUGUUAGAAUAUCAUUAAUCCACUCCUUGUACACACACAAUUGAAUGGAAAGGAUAUUUGCAAGGACCAAUAAAAUCUUGCCUGCCUAGUUUUAGCCCAACUAGACUUGAUGGUGGAAGAAGGGGCUACCCAGAAUACAUUUGGAAUCAUUGGCAAAGGUUAGGUGAUUACUCUCUUGGGAGGUGGGGAAACAUUGCUUGCAAAUCAAUGACAUUUGUCAGCACUAAUAUCACAACCCCUCAUCACCUAGACUGUCAACAUCAAUCAGCAUCUUUAAAAAGAAAAGGUGUUUGAGAUAUAGUAGCGAGAGGGAGAGGGCAGGGUGGAGGAAGAAGAAAGGAAAGAUGGUUGGCUCUUGAAAGAGACAUGAAAGAACAAAGGAAUGGAACCUUGGAAAAUUGGACUGUAAUGUAAUUUACCUGAGGGGAAGGAGUAUGUCCUCUCUCCUGUGUUCCUUGUUUCACUUAAAGCAGUAGUUGCAGUACCUUCAGUUUGUUUGUUUUUUCAUGAAUACAAUUUUUUGACCAUCUCCUUUGGGAAAAGCACUGAAAUAGGUAAGUAGAAAUAUGCAAAAAACCCAAACAUAUAAAUUGAAUAUAAUCCCACCU
rnacentral:lncRNA from 1 species